GGCAGGCAUUUCGUUGGCUUCAUCCUUCCCCUAAUCUCCAUCUCUGCUCAGGAGAUUUACUCCACUAAUUCACCUGUCGACACGGAUAUCCCUCGUCAUCUUAUCUCUCACCGAGGCGAGGGUGUCACCGUGGUGGCUCGUUUUUCAUCGUCUCCGACGCGUCGGGCAGCACUUCGUAAUUGCGGAUGAAAAGAUUCCUGUAUGGUGGUUGGUUCUCGCCACCCUGGUGAGUACAGAAAAAGUUGGGAGUAGGCUCCUUCCAUUGAUGAUGAGACGUACUUCCCAAGGGAAAGUUGCACCGUGGCCGAACAGCUGUCACAUCGGAUUUGAGGCUAUCCAGAAAAAUUAAAUGUCACAAUAUUUGAAGCCGAAACUUUCCACUACCGCAGAAUUCACGAGUUUCGACGAAAGAUAAAAUCUAUUUGUGUUGCUGAUCACGAUGGCAAAAAUAAUGAAAUAUACUAAAGUCUAAAUCGAGAUUUUAGACGUUCGUAUGACAAACGACGAAUUGAGAACAUGUUCCUGCAGAUGUUAUUCGUCACGGAAGAACUAGAUCUCAUUCCAUGCAGAUUCGCCAUUUUCUUCUUCUUCUUUUUUUUCGAUUUUGUUUCUGAACGAAUAAAAUGAAAUAGGAGGAACAUUUUAUUCGCCUUGGAAUGCAAGAUGAGAAAAUGGAAUGCUUUAAUCUUUUGGCAUAUUCAUUUUUUUUUCCUUCUGAGUCUGUAGAAAAUAUUUUUCGUUUACUAUAUUUGAACGUUUUAUGCUCGACUAACUUAGAAAAUGAAGCUCGUAU